CUGUGGAAUGUAAACCCCUUUUCUCAAGGAAGAAGUUCUGACGGUACCUGAGGAAUCAGCAUCGGCUAACUCCGUGCCAGCAGCCGCGGUAAGACGGAGGAUGCAAGCGUUAUCCGGAAUUAUUGGGCGUAAAGCGUCCGUAGGCGGUUCAUCAAGUCUGCCGUUAAAGACUGCAGCUUAACUGUGGGCGAGCGGUGGAAACUGACGAACUGGAGUACGGUAGGGGUAGAGGGAAUUCCCAGUGUAGCGGUGAAAUGCGUAGAUAUUGGGAAGAACACCAGUGGCGAAGGCGCUCUACUGGGCCGUAACUGACGCUGAGGGACGAAAGCUAGGGGAGCGAAAGGGAUUAGAUACCCCUGUAGUCCUAGCUGUAAACGAUGGAUACUAGGUGUUGCGCGUAUCGACCCGUGCAGUACCGCAGCCAACGCGAUAAGUAUCCCUCCUGGGGAGUACGCACGCAAGUGUGAAACUCAAACGAAUUGACGGGGGCCCGCACAAACGGUGGAGUAUGUGGUUUAAUUCGAUGCAACGCGAAGAACCUUACCAGGGCUUGACAUCCCUCGAAUCCUCUUGAAAGAGAGGAGUGCCUUCGGGAGCGAGGAGACAGGUGGUGCAUGGCUGUCGUCAGCUCGUGUCGUGAGAUGUUGGGUUAAGUCCCGCAACGAGCGCAACCCACGUCCUUAGUUGCCAUCAUUCAGUUGGGCACUCUGGGGAGACUGCCGGGGACAACUCGGAGGAAGGUGUGGAUGACGUCAAGUCAUCAUGCCCCUUACGUUCUGGGCUACACACGUACUACAAUGCUUCGGACAAAGGGCAGCGAGCGCGCGAGCGUGAGCAAAUCUCAUAAACCGAGGCACAGUUCAGAUUGCAGGCUGCAACUCGCCU
rnacentral:rRNA from 1 species